rnacentral:lncRNA from 1 species
ACCUAACAGGUUACAUAAUCCACAGACCUAACAGGAAUACAUUAAUCCACAGACCUAACAGGAAUACAUAAUCCACAGACCUAACAGGGUUAACAGACCUACAGGAAUCAUAAUCCACAGACCUAACAGGGUUAACAGACCUAACAGGUUAACAUAAUCCACAGACCUACAGGAAUAACAUAAUCCACAGACCUAACAGGAAAAACAUAAUCCACAGGACCUAACAGGAAUAACAUAAUCCACAGACCUAACAGGAAUAACAUAAUCCACAGACCUAACAGGAAUAACAGACCUAACAGGGAUAACAAUCCACAGACCUAACAGGAAUAACAUAAUCCACAGACCUAACAGGAAUAACAUAAUACGCAGACCAUAACGGAAUAAAAAUCCACAGACCAUAACAGGAUAACAUAAGACCCAGACCUAACAGGGUUAAC